rnacentral:rRNA from 1 species
GAUGAACGCUAGCGGCAGGCCUAAUACAUGCAAGUCGAGGGGUAUGAUUUUGAGUUUACUUGAAAUAGAGACCGGCGCACGGGUGCGUAACACGUAUGCAACCUACCCUUUACAGGGGGAUAGCUCAGAGAAAUCUGAAUUAAUACCCCAUAGUUACAUUUCACUGCAUGGUGAGAUGUAUAAAGCUCCGGCGGUAAAGGAUGGGCAUGCGUUACAUUAGCUAGUUGGUGAGGUAAUGGCUCACCAAGGCUACGAUGUAUAGGGGUUCUGAGAGGAUGAUCCCCCACACUGGUACUGAGACACGGACCAGACUCCUACGGGAGGCAGCAGUAGGGAAUAUUGGACAAUGGACGCAAGUCUGAUCCAGCCAUGCCGCGUGCAGGAUGACAGCCCUCUGGGUUGUAAACUGCUUUUAUAUGAGAAGAAACCCUCAGAUGCGU